CACGUAGGCACCAAGCGUUGUCCGGAUUUAUUGGGCGUAAAGAGCUCGUAGGCGGUUCGGUAAGUCGGGUGUGAAAACUCUGGGCUCAACCCAGAGCCGCCACCCGAUACUGCUGUGACUUGAGUUCGGUAGGGGAGCGGGGAAUUCCUGGUGUAGCGGUGAAAUUCGUAGAUAUUCGGAAGAACACCAGUGGCGAAGGCGGCUCACUGGUCCGGUACUGACGCUGAGGUGCGAAAGCGUGGGGAGCAAACAGG
rnacentral:rRNA from 1 species